CUGCUCAAUCCUCUGCCAUUUAGGAGUUAAAUCCCUUUGUUUGUGAACCCUAGUCACACCUCCCUGCAUGUGACUUGCACAGCCUUCCAUAAACACUUCCUGUAAAGAAAGCCCUAUUUAGGCUUUCUUUAUUGCAAGUUCUGUUUAAUUAAGAUUUUCUUAUCCCCUGCUAUGUUAAUAGCUUGCUAGACCCUGCAAGAGCCUCCUGUAUGUGAUUAAAGUUCAAUUUAGAGAUUGAGAUACAAUUAUUUAAGGUAAAUUACAUCUGUUUGAAAGUGAAACCAGUUUUUUUUUUUCAUGCAGGCUCUGUCAAUCAUAGCCAGGGGAGGUGUGGCUAGGGCUGCAUAAACAGAAACAAAGUGAUUUAACUCCUAAAUGACAGUGAAUUGAGCAGUGAAAUUGCAGGGGAAUGAUCUAUACAUUAAAACUGCUUUAUUUAGCUAAAGUAAUUUAGGUGACUAUAGUGUUCCUUU